GGGGAUUUAGCUCAGUGGUAGAGCGCUUGCCUAGCAAGCACAAAGCCCUGGGUUCAGUCCCCAGCUCCG
rfam:Rattus norvegicus chromosome 4, whole genome shotgun sequence.